CUUCAGUAUAUCUACAGCUUCUUAUACACACACAAAUCAACUGCUAUUUUUUUCAAUAAUAGUGUUAGUGGGGGCCUCAUGUAUGAGUUUCGCCUAAGGCCUCAGCAAGUCUAGAGCCGCCACUGCUGGAAGCACAUCUCUUCAGGAAAGCUUAGCAUGUUUUUAGGUGACGUUUUUCUCACUUGCUGCUUAAUCAUUCGCCUUGCCUUCACAGCGCAGCUCACUCUCUC